rnacentral:lncRNA from 10 species
GACACGUGGUGCCUUCAGGCUCUGGGGCCUAGGACCUUUGUGGUAGCAGAGUCACUGCAGAGAACCAGACAAUACCAGGUUGCUUAUAAAAGGAUGCCAUGUGCUUGCUGGAGGUCCCAGGUGCAACCAAAUUGCUUGCAGCUAGGAGGACCUUGAAGAGAAAUGGGAUCAGCCCGCCAAACCAAGAAGGGUUAGCACUUUUGCUAGGAGAGCUGACCACGCACAAACAGAUGAGAACCAAAACCGAGUGAAGAGGAUUGAAGAUGAACCCACAUUUUAAAAGUUCUUGUCUGCUGGAGGUGGCAUUACCUGUGACCUCGCUUCACUUCUCCAUACAUGGCUGUUAUAGCAGAAAAUCCAGCUUUCUGAAGCAUAUUUCACGACAUAUGAUGAGACUUAUGUGAUGUGAGACCUGAGAAAACUAUGAUAGAAAGAAGCAACUCAAGUUGCAAGGAUAUUCCUCAUGUAUCAUGCAAGGAUAUUCCUCAUAUAUCAUAGACUAAGGUGUCAGUAUGUUCUUCAAGCUGCUCUGCUCCUGGGCCCAAGCUAUUCUCCUGCCUCAGCCUUCCAAGAAGCUGAAACUACAAGAACACAAGACUGUACCUGGCUUGCAAACACCAUUGCUAAUAAGAAGAUAUUGUAAGACUGAUACCUAAGAGAUAAGAGAGUCUCACUCAUUCUGUCGCCCAGGCUGGAGUGCAGUGGCGUGAUCUCAGCUCACUGCAACCUCCACCUCCCGGAUUCAAGCGAUUCUCCUGCCUCAGCCUCCUGAGUAGCUGGGACUACAGGCCCUCCCUCCGUUGCCCAGGUGGGAGUGCAGUGGUGUGAUGUCAGUUCACUGCAACCUUGGCCUCCCGGAUUCAAGCGAUUCUCCUGCCUUAACCUUCCGAACAUGGAUCCCUGAGGUCGGUCCCCAAUACGACAAGACAAUUUGAUAUCAUAAUAGAACACUGCAGAAACAAUGCUGAGUGAAGAAGAGUAGAAAUGGGAAGACUUGGUUGAGCGGAAACUGAGUUCUUGAAAAGAGGAGAUGCUUGAUGAGGGCAUGGAUCCCUGAGGUCUGCCCCAGUACUAUAAGACAAUUUGAUGUAAGAAAACACAGCAGAUAUAAUACUGAGUGAAGAAGAGUAUAAAUGAGAAGAUUGGUUGUGCAGAUACUGAGUUCAUGAAAAGAGGAGAUGAUUGAUGAGGCCAGGUGCGGUGACUCAUGCCUGUAAUCCCUGCACUUUGGGAGGCUGCGGCGGGCGGAUCACCUGAGGUCAGGAGUUCGAGACCAGCCUGGGAGACAGAGCAUGGAAACCUAAGGUCUGUACCCAAAACUACAGGACUAUUUGACAUCAUAAUAAAACACUGCAGAUAUGAUGCUGAGUAAGAGUAGAAAUGGGAAGACUUGGUUGUGCAGUAACUGAGUUCUUGAAAAGAGGAGAUGCUUGAUGAGGGCAUGGAUCACUAAGGUCUGUUCCCAAUACAAGAAGACUCUUUGACAUCAUAAUAAAAUACUGCAGAUACGAUGCUGAGUGAAAAAGAGUAGAAAUGGGAAGACUUGGUUGUGCAGAAACUGAGUUCUUAAAGAGAGGAGAUACUUUAUGAGGGCUGGAGUGCACUGGAGCAAUCCUGGCUGGCCAAUACUGAGUUCUUGAAAACAGGAGAUGCUUGAUGAGG